rnacentral:misc_RNA from 1 species
UGCAUCAUGAAGAAGAAAACAAUCACUACAUGCGUUAAUAAUAAGUUUUACCAAAUAGAAAAGUAAUUAGAGGAUUUAAUAAGGGUUACGUUGAUUAAGACAAUUAAUUAGAAAUUAUAAACAUAACGACUUUUCAAGGAAGGAGGAGAUGAAAUAUUGAAGAGAAAGGUGGUGCAGUUGCUUGUUUGAUUAUAAUUAAUUAAGCCAAUGGAAGUAUAAAUUUAAAUAGAAUCAUCUUUUCUUCAUAUAGGGAGAGUAGAGGACGUGCGUGGUGGUGGGAUAUCUUAUCAUUAAGGAGAGAAUAUGAAUAUCAGUCUCUUUCCACUUGCAAAUUCACCACUAAUCAAAUGCUUUUGUAGGUGGCUGUCUCUAUCAGCUUGAGCACGGCUCCACCUCCUUCCUCCAUUUCAACGCCUCCCUCCACUCCUUUUAUUCUUUAAUCAUCACUCAAUUUCUUGGGCAUCCAUUCCUCUCCCAACCCACCCUGCCUAUCCAUUGUCUACUUCAUCAAUGGACAGAACCGGGUUUGGAAAAA